UUAAGUCCCAUAACGAGCGCCAACCCUUAUCGUUAGUUGCCAUCUGGUAAAGCGAGGGGACUCUAGCGAAACUGCCACCGUAAGGUGAGAGGAAGUGGGAUGACGUCAAAUCAGCACGGCCCUUAUGUCCAGGGCUACACACGUGUUACAAUGGUCGGUACAGAGGGCAGCUACCUGGUGACAGGAUGCUAAUCUCGAAAACCGGCCUCAGUUCGGAUCGAAGUCUGCAACUCGACUUCGUGAAGCUGGAUUCGCUAGUAAUCGCGCAUCAGCCAUGGCGCGGUGAAUACGUUCCCGGGCCUU
rnacentral:rRNA from 1 species